CAGAGUUGAUCCCUGGCUCAGAUUGAACGCUGGCGGCAGGCCUAACACAUGCAAGUCGAGCGGUAGAGAGAAGCUUGUUUCUCUGGAGAGCGGCGGACGGGUGAGUAAUGCCUAGGAAUCUGCCUGGUAGUGGGGGAUAACGUUCGGAAACAUACGCUAAUACCGCAUACGUCCUACGGGAGAAAGCAGGGGACCUUCGGGCCUUGCGCUAUCAGAUGAGCCUAGGUCGGAUUAGCUAGUUGGUGAGGUAAUGGCUCACCAAGGCGACGAUCCGUARCUGGUCUGAGAGGAUGAUCAGUCACACUGGAACUGAGACACGGUCCAGACUCCUACGGGAGGCAGCAGUGGGGAAUAUUGGACAAUGGGCGCAAGCCUGAUCCAGCCAUGCCGCGUGUGUGAAGAAGGUCUUCGGAUUGUAAAGCACUUUAAGUUGGGAGGAAGGGUUGUAGAUUAAUACUCGGCAAUUAUGACGUUACCGACAGAAUAAGCACCGGCUAACUCUGUGCCAGCAGCCGCGGUAAUACAGAGGGUGCAAGCGUUAAUCGGAAUUACUGGGCGUAAAGCGCGCGUAGGUGGUUUGUUAAGUCGGAUGUGAAAUCCCCGGGCUCAACCUGGGAACUGCAUUCAAAACUGCCUGACUAGAGUAUGGUAGAGGGUGGUGGAAUUUCCUGUGUAGCGGUGAAAUGCGUAAUAUAGGAAGGAACACCAGUGGCGAAGGCGACCACCUGGACUAAUACUGACACUGAG
rnacentral:rRNA from 1 species